rnacentral:tRNA from 1 species
UCUCUGUAGGCUCAGCUGGUAAAGAAUCUGUCUGCAAUGCAGGAGUCCUGGGUUCGACCCCUAGGUAGGGAA